CACUCUCUUUUGGCCGGCCAAAGCAAAGAACAAAGAGAAAAAGAGAAGAACAAACCCUAGGAAGGAAAAAUUCAAGAGAAAUUGAUGGAUUUUAAGGAAUCAAGCAAGUAAAGGUAAGAUUUUUUAAUUUUAGCUUGUGAUCUACCUUUCCCAUGCAUUCUUUUUCAUUUUUCAUGGCUGAAAUUCAAUUUUUCAAGAGGGAACCUUUGCUGUCCAAAUCUAGAGAGAGAAGUUUUGGUGAUGAAUUUUGCUAGAUUUCAUAAUAUCCUAGUGUUUUUAAUCAUUUUAUGAUGUUUGGAAGGAAAAACAAGCAAGAAAAUCACAUGUUCUUCAACCACCCUCAUUUGGCCGAAUUUUCUAUAGGGGAUGUUGAUGAUGGAUUUGGUUGUAUUGCAUGUUAUUUAGCUAGGAAUUGAUGAAUUAUGGGGUUGGAUAUCGAAACCGGUUAUUGAAAAAUAUAGUUCCUUUAGAAAAUGGCUUGAUGAAAAAUGAGAAAAUCAUAAUAAAUGGACUUGGAUUUGAUUCCUAAUGAUAUAUAUAUGGAUUUACGAGAUUAUGUAGACAUUGAUUAGUAUGUUAGUUCGGAAUCGGAAUGAAUUUUGGAAAAUGGUGAAGUUAGUCAAAAAUCAAGUUCAUUGAAAUGCUUUGGUGUAUUAGAUCAUUGGUAGUGGAAUGAGUAUAUUUGGAGUUGAAUCGGAUGUUUUGGCUAAAUCAAUCAUGUAUAGUUCGAAUUAGGCCGAAUACAAAUUCAUUCUGAUCACAAUUGAACCUACAUAGAAUACCGUCUUUAAGUUAUUAUUCGGACAAUUCUCAUUCAAUGUCAUGCAUUCAUAUAGAGCCUGAAAUAGUUUUAUAACAGUUUGGCACAAAUAUAUUGAAUUACAUGUCGUGCAUUAUUUAUAGGUGGUGACCCCUUUGAUAAGGGUAAAGAUAUUGUGCCCGAGGACCAAGAAUAGGAGUACUCCAAACUCCUGCUAUUGUGAGUAAUCAGACUUUCAUCUUAACUAUCUAAAGUAGUUUAUACUCGUUUUUAUGUUUUAAGGAAAAAUAAAUUUAAAUUGCAAACUAUUAUUUUUUAUAAUUGAAGUGUUGAUUAAACGAAAUGAGAUUUGUAACUUGUUUUGAAAUUGAAUACUGGUUUUGGAAAUUGAGUAAAUGGAGACUGUAUACUUGUGUUAUAUAUAUGUUUUGACAUAUGGUUUGAAUUGAUGGCUUAUGACAAUGUGAUGGCAAUCAUGGCUGGAUUUGUGUUUAUGUGGAAUAUAUGAACUGUUUUGCUUUGCCUUGACAGGCUAGUAAUAUUAUAUUAGCCAUGUCAUGCUGUCAAAAAUUUUAUUGAAUUGGUGGAUUAUUUGAUUAGCUUACUGCAAUGGGCGGGUUUCCAUGGACCAGCCUAUUAGAGGGGUACGGUAAACCCCGUUAUAUUUUACCUUAGUAUGAGAGGCGCGGAGGGUAUCUCCUAAAAUAAAGUUAGAGUUCACCUCACGCCGAACCAUCACGUGAGGGUGAAACUUAGACAAUGCCAAGGAACGGUUGUACUUUUAAAUGUAAAAAAUGAGUUUUAUACUUAUAUGUUAUUUUAACAGCCUUGGCGGACUUGGUUGGAUGCCCAACGCAAGGUGUCACCGAGUGUAAGUUUUUGGCACGAGCCAAGUUUUAAGAGAAUCAUAAGCCUUGUUUAUUUUUAUGAAAUGAAAUUGAUUUAUAUGAAAUGAAAGGAGAUUCGAUGUUAUGAAUCAUAUUAUGACGAGAUAUUUUAAAUUGUCUCCAUUUACUCGAUUUUAGAUAUUUUAGAUAAAAUUUGCUUACUCACUAAGUUUAUAAAAACUCACCCCUUCUUUUCACCCAUUUCAGGCUCAAGGCAGUCUGUAGACUGCUGAUUAUGUCGAGGGUUUGCUUUUGGGUUUGCACCCAUAGAAAUUGCAAGUCUAUAGUCUUGUACAUAUAUGUUUAUUUUGGAGGCCCACAUGUCAUUGUAGAAUAUUUUGUAUACCUGGCUGCGUGUGCCACUGUAUGUAUGAAUUUAUUUUGCUUUUACGCUAUAAAAAUUACGCAGA
rnacentral:lncRNA from 1 species